CCGCACUGCCAGUGCUGGGGGCGUCCGUAUCGCUUACUCCUCAGUCUCCGCAACCCCCGCCCCACCGAGAGUCGGGCUCACGCCAUCUUGCACCCCCCCAUCCCCCCGUCACACAGCCGAGUCACCUUUUCCCUUUCUACACUCCACACUCUCUGCCCCUCCCCCACCCUGCCCCUUUCCAAGCGUGUCCCGGGCCGCAGCAGCAGAAACCGCACCAUCUCCACCCCCACAUUCUCCUCGCGGGAAGCGCAGCAGUGCCUACAAGGGUUCUUAAAGCAGAGAUGAAUAAUACGGCAUCUAGUCCAAUGUCUACUGCAACUUCAAGUAGUGGAAGGAGUACAGGGAAGUCUAUAAGCUUUGCAACAGAAUUACAGAGUAUGAUGUAUUCUUUAGGUGAUGCUAGAAGGCCUCUUCAUGAAACAGCAGUUUUGGUAGAAGAUGUGGUACACACUCAGUUAAUUAAUCUGUUACAGCAAGCUGCUGAAGUUUCUCAGCUGCGGGGAGCAAGGGUAAUCACUCCUGAAGAUCUUCUGUUUUUGAUGCGCAAAGAUAAGAAAAAACUUAGAAGAUUGCUAAAAUACAUGUUUAUCCGAGACUACAAAUCAAAGAUUGUCAAAGGCAUCGAUGAGGAUGAUCUUCUUGAAGACAAAUUGAGUGGCAGCAAUAAUGCGAACAAAAGACAAAAGAUUGCUCAGGACUUCCUCAACUCUAUUGACCAGACAGGAGAACUUUUAGCAAUGUUUGAAGAUGAUGAAAUUGAUGAAGUUAAACAAGAAAGAAUGGAGAGAGCAGAAAGACAAACUCGAAUUAUGGAUUCAGCUCAAUAUGCAGAAUUCUGUGAAAGUCGACAAUUAAGUUUCUCCAAAAAAGCUUCCAAAUUUCGAGACUGGUUGGACUGCAGCAGUAUGGAGAUAAAACCCAAUGUUGUCGCAAUGGAAAUCUUAGCAUAUUUAGCAUAUGAAACUGUGGCACAGUUAGUGGAUCUGGCUCUUCUUGUGAGGCAGGACAUGGUAACCAAGGCAGGGGACCCCUUCAGCCAUGCCAUUUCUGCAACCUUCAUUCAGUAUCACAACUCUGCUGAGAGCACUGCAGCCUGUGGUGUUGAGGCUCACAGCGAUGCCAUCCAGCCCUGCCACAUCAGAGAGGCCAUUCGACGCUACAGCCACAAGAUUGGCCCACUUUCCCCAUUCACAAAUGCCUACCGCAGGAAUGGGAUGACUUUUCUAGCCUGCUGAUGUGACAACUGUGAUGUGCUUGCAACAACAGGAAAGGCAAUGUUAUAUUAAGGAGUAAACCAAGCCAAUUCAGCACUUCCUGUUUACUUCCUUGUCAUAUGUAUCAUAGAUGGUGACAGACCUGCUCUCAAAACAAGCUUCCUUCGUUUAAUUCUGCAUUUUCUGCUUAGGCAACCACCCUAUCAAUAUACUUGAACAAUGAAACAAUUUGGCUACUGAAGCACUGUCUCUGAAUUCCUCCUUCAACUUGUCAGUGGAAAGGAAAGUCCCUUGGUGGAAUGGUAGGAAUAGUUUUAAGUGGGGUAUCACACAGUGCCUUACAGUGGAGAAUAUCAAAGCAUUUUCAGCUCUUAAUCUUGGUGUGCAUGACAUGGGUGAACACAAGGCUAGUAAACAACUUGAUUUCCUUAGGAGAUUCUCAGUGCUCUAUCUGUUUUUUAAGUAAGAAGAUUGAGUUUCAUGUAUAUUGAGUGACUAAAGUGUAAGCUUAGAAAUAUUUUAUGUUUCCAUCAUAGUUUAUUCUGUUCAGCAUAAAUCAUCAGAGCCAACCAUAACUUAACCAUUUACUAGAGCUUUUUCAGAGUCAGUUGUAUUACAAGCAUGUCAGACACACCUUCCUACAAGUCCCUCAAGGUCAAUAGUUUAGAAAUUCUGCGCUUUCCUUCCCUUCCCCACUCAACACUUAUGGAAAUAUAUGCUAAUUGGAACAGAAGCUGCCUACCAAACUAACAGGGUUAGACCACUCUUAACACAAGAUUAAUGAGAAAGAAGUUUAAGGAAAAAAUAACAUUUCUCAAGCAGUAAGAAAGUACACGCCAAGUAAAAGCCAACAGUCUGCAUCAGUCGGAUACCAAACUGCUUUCCCCUGACUUUACUUAAAGGAGUUAAAGACAGGGAAUCCUGUAUGUCCAGCCUUGCUCUAGUCACUGUUGCCAGCCUUUUGGCUCAGUGUGGCUGGCUCCUCAUCUUCCUUGGGACCUCAGCUCAGCAGCCACCAUUGUGGAAAACAAGACCACAGACUCAAGGGUUAGAAUGAGACUCUAUACACUGUUUACUAAGGUGACAUGCCAGAAGGAAUGAUGAGGCACAGACAUACUGCAUGUGGCCCACUGCAUUCAUGACAGGCCUUUGUAGGUGUGUGAUUUAUAUUCAUAAAAGGGGGUUCGGAGACAACGGAUGUUUACAGUCACUGAUAUUGGCAAGAAAUUAAGUUUGUGAAUCACUGCGCUGUUGAUAGAUGACUGAACUGUGAGUUAGCAGACAUCAAGAGCUGUUAGUUACGAGUGAUACUAACGUUCUUUUGAAAUAGGUUUAGACAACAGUAUUUGCUUAGAAGGAGAAAAGCCUAAAGAUCUUAUCAAUUUGCAGAAACUGUAAUUGGCAUACUACAUGAUAUAUUUACAUUAUUUGGCAAAGGCCAGUGGGGGCAGGGGGCGAUUUCUCUUAGAAUUCCAACCCUUUUAGGAUCCAAAGGCAGCCUUCACCUGUGGCACAUGCUUAGCUCUUUAUAAGCACCCUAAAUUUUUCCAAAUAAAUUUUACACAUUUAAAAAGUGAUGAUCUUUCACACCUAGUACCCAGAUCUUAGUUUCUAAAUAUCAUUCCCCACUGGUAUUCAGGGUUCCUUGGAGAAAUGCCUGAUCCCAGAACCAGGGCAGGGAAAGAUGCCUGGAAAAAUGAGCCUUGAAUAUUUUAUUGCAUAAGAAAAUAAGGAACUGGUCAAAGAACCAUGGGGAGAUGUCAAAAAUGGAGCUGGAAGAGGCUCUUACUGGCCAAAUCUGGGACAAUUUGAGCAUCAAAAUAAAUGAUAGUACUAGUUUGUCACCCAUAGAAUAAAUAUUCAUGAGUCCAUGCAGUAUAAAUAAGUAAACAGAGGAGAAAGUGAAAGGUCUUCUUUGCAGAAGAAUGCCAACUAAUAAAUAUAGAAAGAAUAGUGGCAUUAAGAUCAUCCAUGGUAGAGGAAGACUGAUAAGAAGUGGUUUAUGUAGUCUCAAAUUUUCUCCCCACAAAUUACUGAUUAAUUGAAAAGGAAAAAAUAGUAAAAAAGAAAUCUGAUGUUCUUUAAAUUAUUUAUUUAUUGUAAGUAUUGUUGAUUAAAAUGUUAUGUUUGUGUUCAAAAAUGGAUAAGUACUCUUGCUUAAAUUUUGUGUUUCUGCAGGCUAUGCCACUAAAUAAGAAAUGCAAACAGGGAGAAAUUCAUUUAUAAUAGUUGAAAGAAAAUCUCCAAUGAUGGCAAAUCCUUUGAUAAAAUAUAUUUUUGUCAAAUGCCUAAGACAGCUCCUUUUGUUCAGCCUCAAUCUGGAAAUUGUUCUUCCCUCCAAAAGCCAGAACAGGCUGACACUGUAGCACAUCAGAGGCAUAUGGGAGCUCUCUGCUCCAAGCACUGCAAUUUAAGGGAGAUGGGAUGCUACAGCAUCAUGUGGGCAAAGAGGUGGCCAUUCUAGGAUGGCACUGGAACUCCAUCUGUCCCUUCUCCAGUGAGGACCCUGGCCAUCUUUAUUUCUCCCUUUUGUUGUCUAUAUAAAACCAGAAACACUGUUUUCAGUUCCUGUGAUGGUUAGGUAUCUAAAGCAGGCAGGACACCAAUGUCCAGACAUGGCAGACUGGGUAAACAGGACUCAUAGAUAAUGCUGGCUCAGCUGGGUGCCCAGCCACCUGGUUAUGUGAUGAACUGCACUAGCUUUCCAGGGAGACCGGACAGGCACCUCGAAGACUACAUUCAGAUGCUAAAAUGCACACCCACAAAGCAGCCAUCUCAGACUUCUAAUCUUACUUUAUGACCAAACUGUAAUUACAUUACACCAAUUACUUGAAUAUUACAUUUUUAUUACUGUUAUGUCAUUAUGUCUACUAGGAAAAAAAUAUGCCUACUUUAACCAAUAAAAUUCUUAAUGACUCAUUUAAGCUGUGUCUACAUGAAACCCCUGACUUAAACAUUUUGGUCAAAAUAAUUUUUAGGGCCUGGGAGAAAAAGAGAGUUAAUCUCCAUCUAUGUGAUUACCCCCAAAGCAAGAAAACUUCCAGUCGUAGAUGUACGGCUAGAAGUUAAAAAGUUCCAGCCAAGGCUAAUCAGAAAGUCACGAUGACUAUAUUUAAGAGCUAUAUUUAUACAGCCGUCAAUUCUUUAUCAUCUGGUGAUCAGUUACAACUAUUAAUAAAAAAGGAGAGCUGGGAACUCAGGAAACAUCCAUUGUAGCCAUCCUCCAAAUGCAUGGAGGCAUGUUUACACUUCCAAAAUGUCAAGUAGGCCCAGCUGUAAAAAGAUUCUUUAAAGGCCAUCUAGGCCAGUUUUUUGGGAGGCAGUGAUUUAAUUGGGACUCACUAGGGACAGUCCCCCGAAUAAAGUUAUUAAUGUGUAGAACUUCUGUUUUAAAAUCAUUAUAAUUACAUUUUACUACAUUUACCUCUUUUAAGGUAGCAUCUCAUUUUCUGUAGGCCAGUGACCUGUAGAGCUUAUCUCACUGAGAAAUUCCAGGCAGUCAGACUCGGUGCAUUUUCUCAGCAGAGGGACCUCUGACCUUAACCACCUCUCAGCUCGCCCCAAACCUAUGUGUCCCUUUCCCAAGCCAUGCAGACUCAGACAAGCAUAGGAUGCUACCUGUCUCCAAAAUAAUUCUCUACUUCGGGAGCCAGAAUUCAGACCCUUGAAUUUUGAGAAUUUACCAUAUGCACUUAAGUGAGUCAAAAUAUCCAAAUUUAAUCACUGUUGAAAACUUUUUUCACAUACAUUUUACAUAUGCCUUUUCCUCCCAAGUUUUAUGGAUUAAACACUUUCCUACAAGAAGAUGAAGUGGGAACAGGUUUUUCUUCCCCUAGGUUUGGUAUUUGCUUUAUUUAAAAAAAAAAUCCUUUUGACAAUAUAUGUACUCUGUAUUACUGUGUAAAAUCUCAUGCCUAAUUCUAAAGUUAUGUGCAUCUGCUGGACAUAAACACUGUUAAACAUUCAUGACUGCCUACAAAUGUGAAAAGUAUUACCAGGUCUAUUUUUAACAUUAUUUUGGCAAGACUGUUGCUGUGGAAAAAAAAAUCCUAUAGAAUCUUAAUGAGAAAACUGAAUGAUUCUUUGAAAUGUGGUUGUGAUUCCUUAACUUAUUAAGUGAUGAUGUCAUUGGUGCCAAGAAGCAAGAAACAGUGAACUCACUCACUUGCCAGCAUGCUCUGGAGAUACACCAGAAGGGAAAUGAAACUCAUCUUGAGUGCGGUUUGUGCUGAGCUGCACCUUCCCCCACAGCUCGGAAGGUCACACUUGUCCCUGCACAGGACAUGUCUCACACACUUGGUCUGUCAUCUCUGUGAACCUACGUCAUGGAAGGGUGCACUGAUUGCAUUUGUUUUUAUGGAACUUGAUCUGUUUGCUGGCCUUUUUUCUGCUUAUUACCCACAUUUGUCUUACAGAAAAGAACCACCUUGUUUCACCUGUUGGAGAAAGACGGGGGUGUCCUCCAGCUCACCUGAGUCCCCUCAGUCACUUAAUUAGCAAGUGGCAAGAAGU